UCGACCCUCGGCUCAGUGAAGGAGAGGAAAAACAAAAAUAAAAACAAGAACAAAAACAAAAGAGCAUUAGUAAGUCCAGAAGAAAUAGCAUAAAUAAUUAUCUAAAUAUAAGAACCAUAAAUAAAUAAAAUAGCACGCAAUAAUAUCAGACGAUAACUACCAUAAAUAACUAACAUAAAGGAGACACAAUCCAAUACACAAAUCAUCUAAGUACUAAGUA
rnacentral:lncRNA from 1 species